rnacentral:lncRNA from 1 species
ACGCGCCGCAGGUCAGGACUAGGCUGGAGCCGAGCCGCGGGGCUCGCGGAGGCGGCGGCGGCGGCGGCGGCUACUGCUGGGGGAGCCUGGCCAGGGCCCGCGGCGGAGGCCGUGGCUAGUACUGGGAAGGUGGCGGGGAGGGACGCGGGAGGAAGAUGGCGACGUCGGGGGCGAACGGGCCCGGCUCUGCCACGGCCUCGGCUUCCAAUCCGCGCAAGUUUAGUGAGAAGAUCGCGUUGCAGAAGCAGCGUCAGGCCGAGGAGACGGCGGCCUUCGAGGAGGUGAUGAUGGACAUCGGCUCCACCCGGGUGAGGGGCCGCGCCGGGGAGCGGGAGCGAAGCGGAGCAGUUACGGAGCGGAGAGGCGGGGCAGGGGCGGGAGCCGCAGCCCUGGAGGCGGAACAGGGUUGAGGCGACGGCGGCGGGCGCCGCCGUCUGGGAGGCUCGGGUUGAGGGCCGAGGGGACUGGAAGACGAAUUUUGCUCGGGAGAUGGAAAUACAGGAGAGGUGGGGGAUGUGGGUGCGACUGGGGGCCGAGUACGUGAGUCGGAGAUGGGCCGAGAGGGAAGAUGGGCCCCCGAAGGCCAGGGGAGGUGGGGAGUCCUUGUGCGUGCCGGGAGGAGUCCCCUUGGGGACUCCACUGAAGCAUCCCAGAUCUUGGGUUAUGGAUUUUAGGAUGGACUGCUUGUCCCUAAUUUGGUUCUUCUGAGGUUGUGCUCUCUAGACUGGUCUCUGCCCUGUUGUGCCGCUCUCAGCACUUUGGUAUCUACGGGAAAGGGCCCCUUGAGUGGUUUGAACGAGCAGUGUUGGGUAUAGUGGGGCAGGAAGUCCCCUCCUGCGUCCCGUCCCUUUGCUUCCUUUUUCAAGUACUUCUUGUGGUUUCCUGACGUGAGUGAAGGUGAGGUCCACUGCUCACAGGCUGGUGCUCCAUCUUUUGCCUUGGCCGCCUUGAAGGAAAAGUAGAGUUUUGAAUCCCAAAACUGGGUAACUGAUUUUUUUCUUUUUAGGUUGCAUAGAACCCGAUGAUUUGCUGGACUUUCUAGGGAGAUGCUGCCCUGUGGGUCAGUUUCUGGAGUGCCUCGGAGGGUCCCCCAUGAGGAGGGUAUAUUCAUUCCUAGGAAAUUCUUAGAAUUUUCAGGUCUCUGACAAGCUGCCUCUGAAGCCCCUCUGGCCUUGGUUUCUUGCUGCCCAAGGCUGGAUGUCCAAGGGCCACUGUCAAAAGAGUUUGCCCAGCUGGUAUGCAGUGCUAAUUUAGGGACACAUUAUUCUCAAAUAAUAGGUGAGAGGAUUUUGCUGUGAUCCCUCAUGGCAAAGAACUGGAAGAAAUUUAAAGGGAGAUGGUGGACAUAAGUGUCGCAUUUCAACGCUCCUUGUGAUUGCAUCUAUCAAUGAUUAUGUCUCUUGAUUAUAUUUUUGUGUGCCUCUUCCUUGAUUCUGUUAGUCUCUUUUGUGUUUUUCCCCUCUGAGUCUCUAGGGACCAUGUGCCCUAGAUUAUGAGAGCCAAAACAGAAAAAGAUAGGUGGGGAGGCAAGUGUGUGUGUGUGUGUGUGUGUGUGUGUUUGUGUACACAUACACAGGCAUAUGCUUGCAUAACCCACUCUAACUACUAUGAGGAUUAUGCUCUAACGCUUGACUGCUCUCUAGGAACUUUUGAUCAUAGCGGUACAGAGAGAAGAUGGGAGAGGGGCUCAUCCUCAGCUGAGAGCUCUGCCCUCUGGACCAGGAUUCUAGCAGAGGCAUGGUGUGAUCUUAGGGCUUGUAUGUGCAAACAAGGCUGUGAGAAACUCAAAGCUGGGAUUCCUAUUUGUGGUGCUUUGGUUCAUCAAAAGGACCUUCUACCUGCCUUUUCUCUCCUGAUUCUUUUCUGCUAUGUAAAAAAGUCUAGUGGACAUUCAUGGCCAGGGCCUGGGGACCUAAAAAUCUUGAACUAGCAAUGAGAGAUCUGGGGCUCAGCUUGUUACCUGGCCAGUUGGGAGGGCUCAUUUGAAUCAGAUAUGGCCAUAUUUGUUCUACUGAGAGGCUAGGGUUGCCAUAUUUAUUAACAGUGAUUUUGAAGGACCCAGAGGUAAGCACAGUGCCCACCAAACUCAGUGGGUUGAGCUCCUAGAACAGGAAUUCAGGUUUGAUGUACGCUUACAUGGCAACAGUGUGAUCCUGGAAGCUCUUGGAAUUUACCAUCCUCAGCUGUUCUCCUCCCCAUGGCCUUGCUCUGGGUCUCUUUGUCUGGUGGUAGUGACUGAGGACACAAAUCUGCAGGCAGGCUAAAUCCAUGUCAAGCUGAGGGAUAUGGUGUAUCACUUCUGUCCCAGACUUAUUUCUCUGAAAUAGGGGUAAGGGCCAGGGAGGUGGCUCUGGCCCAGGCUGGAGUGGGCUCCUGAGCCCCCUCCUACCUCCAUUCACUAGGCUUCCCUGCCAAUUAAGGGGCCUUAGGAUCCAGUGGAAGUAUUCUGCUUUUCUAGUGGGCAAAGCCAUUAUUUCCUGGAUCUUCUAAUUUGGGAGGUACAGGCUGUGAUUUGGCUGGGCAAGUGGCAUAGCCUAGUAGCCUGCGUUCUCUUUGAGUGUGAAGGAAAAAGGAUGGCAAUAAUGGAUCUAUGACAUCCACCUGUGACCUUGCCCUUCUAAUUAGUCCUGGGUAUAUCUGGAAAUGAAACCAGAAGUGCCUAAUAGGCACCCAUCUCUGUGACUAGUCCCUAGUAACCCCUAGGGACUCUGCUUAGACUGAUGCUGACCGAGCUAGGCAGCGGCGAUCUCACUGAUGAGGGUAGGCUACAGAAGGGCUGGGGGGUUGUUUGCACUAGGUCUCUGUGGGCCUUUCUCCUAGCACUGGCUUUUCUUUUUUUUUUUUCCUUUUUCCCUAGCAGAUACCUUAAAAGCUGCAGCAGCAUAUCCUGGUGACAGGGAUGGCAAGGAUGGCCAAAGGGAACAGUGCUCAGGACUCUCCCUGACAUUCCCAUUUGUCCUUCAUGUCUCAGUUACAGGCCCAAAAACUGCGACUGGCAUACACAAGAAGCUCCCAUUAUGGUGGUUCUCUGCCCAAUGUUAACCAGAUUGGCUGUGGCCUGGCCGAGUUCCAGGUGAGUGGACAUCAGCCAGGGAGGAGUGGAGGUUCCUCUGCUUCCUCUGCUGAUUACCUGUCCCUUUUGGCAGAGCCCCCUCCACUCACCUUUGGAUUCAUCUCGGAAUACUCGGCACCAUGGGCUGGUGGAACGGGUGCAGCGCGACCCCCGAAGAAUGGUGUCCCCACUCCGCCGAUAUCCCCGCCACAUAUCCUUAAUAGAGGACAGGGAGUCUGGGAGGUAGUGGGAAGGGGUUCUUCAGGGAGGCAUGGUAGGAAGGACUUACUUUCGCAGUACUGAGGGUUCCCUGCCACUCAGCUACACCCCAGCCCUUUUUAUUUUUUGAGAUAGGGUCUUACAAAGUCACUCGUGCUUACCUGGAACUUGUGAUCCUCCUGCCUCAGCCUUCUGAGUUGUGGGGUUACAGGCACGAGCCAUCACGUCCAUAGGAAGAGAUGUUAAAUGUUGCCUUGUUCCGUCCUUUUCCAGGAGCUUACCUUUACCCUGACUCAAUGAAAAGUGACCACAGUCAAUGUGUCAGGAGUUGCUGCUCCUCUCUGGCUGGUCUCAGCUGUCCUCACUUUGGCUCAGUCUGCUGCACAAGUAGUGGGCUCCCUAUGCUCUGACUAAGGAAGGCUUGAUCCCUUCGUUUCUGUUGUUUCAUUUCAGUCUCAGAGACCCAUAUACUCAUCUCCCCUAAGUCCUGCUCAGACAGUCUCCUAGAUUGUUCUCGCUCCAUUAUGCCUGAUACUUUUUUUUUUUUUAAACACAGUACUGAGGAUUGAACCCAGGGCCUUGCCAAUGCCAGGCAGGGACUCUGCUGCUGAGCUACAUACCCAGCUCCAAGCUCUGUUCUUUUUUUAAUUUCUUUCCAGUACGGGGGAUUAAACUCAGGGCCUUGUGCAUGCUAAGCAAGCACUUUACCAUUGAGCCACAUCCCCAGUCUCUUUUCAUUCUUUGACCCCAUUGUUGCCACUUGAAGAGAAAGAGAAAGAGAAAGGUUAUAUGUGUUUUGAAAUAGCUAUCUAGCCAGGCAUAGUGGCACACACCUGUAAUCCCAGCAGCUUGGGAGGCUGAAGCAGGAGGGUCGCAAGUUCAAAGCCAGCCUCAGCAACUUAGCAAGGCUCUAAGCAACUCAGUGAGACCCUAUCUCAAAAUAAAAAGGGUUGGGGGCCUGGGAUUGUGGCUCAGUGGUAGUGCACUUGCCUAGCACGCGUGAGGCACUGGGUCCCAUCCUCAGCACCACAUACAAAAAUAAAGUUAUUAAAAAACAACAAAAGGGCUGGGGAUGUGGCUCAGUGGUAAAGUGCUCUCGUACCAAAAAGAAAGAAAUAACUAUCUACUGUCUCCAUUGGUCGACUUUUUUGAGACAGGGUCUUGCUAAAGUUGCUGAGGCUAUUCUCAUACUUGGAGAUCUCCUGCUGCUCUGUUUACUCACUCUCCAUCUUCUUCCUUAACUGUUGCUGUUCACAUUGACAGUUCUCCCUACAGUCCCGCCUACUUAUCUCCUCCUCCAGAGAACAGCUGGCGAAGGUGAGUCCAGGUCAGGCAGUCCGCUGCCCACUCUGUCACUUUCUGAAGGAGCUGGGGCUUGGUUGGGAUACUGGACUAGGGUUUCAUCAGUACCUCCUCCUAUAUUGGCUUAGCUGGGAGGGUGGGGGCAGCAGGAGUAGGUGAUCAGAGUCCAGUCUUGGCGUGUUGACAUGUGUAGCCAAAGCAGGACCAAUAGAACUGGAGCCAAGCUGGGUGUGUGUGAGAGUGUGUGUGUGUGUGUGUGUGUGUGUGUAUGGGGGAGGGGAGAAAGGCAGGGUUACAGGUGAAAAUGGCUGCCUUCUGUCAAGGGUGGGUGCCAGAUACAGUGCAGGGAAACUAUUAGAUCUCUGAACCCCUCCACUCUCCAUCUUAGCCCUAGCACUCACGUCCAAAAGAGGCUCUGAGCUCCAAAUUUCCUGUUCAGCUUGUCCUGGCAGAGAGGAGUGGAGAAGUUUCCAGAUCUCUUAGAUUGACUGGGGGAGGGGAUUCAUGGGUCACAGGCAUCAGAAGAACCAGAAAGAGCAAAGAAUUAUUCUGGUGCCCGUCCUCUCUUUCCAUCGGGGCUGCCUCACAUUCCCAGCCCCCAUGUCUGCUUUCUUGUCACUGCCAGCAUUCUUCCUCCUCCUCACUCUGUUUUUCUACCCCAGGAUGAUGCCCUGGAGCAAUUUCCCUGCAGAGAAGGGGCAGUUGUUUCGACUACCGUCUGCACUCAACAGGUGAUGGCCCUUGCCUUAUUUAGGCCGUAUCUUCUUUAAUCUGCACUUUCUGGGGCCCUGUUGCUUCACCCCACACUGUUGUAGCCCAUCUAAUGUCUCCCCUGCUGGGCGGGGCUGGGCCACUGGGAAAAUCAUUACCGCUGCCAUUGCUGCUGCUGCUGUUUUUUUCCUUAAUUUAAUUUUAUUUAUCUUUAUGUGGUUCUGAGGAUGGAACCCAGGGCCUCCCACGUGCUAGGCGAGCGUUCUACCGCUGAGCCACAACCCCAGCCCCCUGCCAGUGCUUCUUUACUCCCCAAACAGGACAAGCUCUGACUCGGCCCUUCACACAAGUGUGAUGAACCCCAACCCCCAGGACACUUAUCCAGGACCCACACCUCCUAGUGUCCUACAAGGCCGUCGUGGGGGUAAGUGGCCAAAUCCCAGGGUAGGGAGUAGCUGUGAGCUUUUGAUAGAAUCAGAUUGGUAAGUGAGGGCUGCUGCCAACUCCGCUGCAUCCCUUGCAGGUUUUCUGGAUGGUGAAAUAGACUCCAAAGGUAUGUGUUCUUCAACACAUUGUGGAGACCAAAUGCCAAUAGAAUUUCUGGGCUGACAUUGGAGACUUCAUGCAGGGUUAGGACACAGGACUCCCUCUGCCUGUCUCUGCUUCCUGUGUGCCUUCCUGGCUCCUUCUCCAGCCUCCCCAUCACCUGUCUUUCUCUUUCAAGUCCCUGCUAUUGAAGAGAACUUGCUAGAUGACAAACAUUUGCUGAAACCAUGGGAUGCUAAGAAGGUAGGUGUGGGCCACUGGAUGUCACCCACCCUUCCCUUCCCAUGGGCAGGCUUCUAGAGUUCCCUCCUGAGCUCUGUCCUCAUUUUCCACAUUCUUCCUUAGCUGUCCUCAUCCUCCUCGCGACCUCGGUCCUGUGAAGUUCCUGGAAUUAAGUAAGUUCCUUUAUAAGGCUGGCUGAGAAUAGGAGUGAGGGAGGGAAGUCCAGGGCCGUGUGGAAGAUGGAUCUGUGCUCUUCCCUGACUCCCUCCCCUCCAUUUACACCUUUCUUUCUUUUUCUCUCCCUCCCCUAGCAUCUUUCCAUCUCCUGACCAGCCUGCCAAUGUGCCUGUCCUCCCAGCUGCCAUGAACACUGGGGGCUCCUUACCUGACCUCACCAACCUGCACUUUCCUCCACCGCUGCCCACCUCCCUGGACCCUGAAGAGACAGCCUAUCCCAGCCUGAGUGGGGGCAAUAGUACCUCCAAUUUGACCCACACCAUGACUCACCUGGGCAUCAGUGGAGGUCUGGGCCUGGGCCCGGGCUAUGAUGCACCAGGUGAGUGGCUUUCCUGGCUGUGUAUGUGCCCACCAGAUGCUGCCUGACUAGAGGGAUGGAGGGUCGGGAGGUUUGAGCUGGAUCCUAUAAUGCCCACCAGUCCAGCAACCCGGCACCCCCGGAUCCCUGUACUGCAAUUCUCAGCCUAUGAGAACUGGUAGGUGUGACUUUCCUACAAAGAAGAUGGAGAACCACCCCCAGGUGGGCUGUGCCAAUCUCACUGGCAGGAACAGAAUAGGAAGGACAUUGUGUUGCCACUUUCAUAGUCCAGUCACUGCAACCCAUUCGGGGUGGAAAGGAGCCUGGUUCUCAUCAGUAAUGUUGUCAUCUCUGGUUUUUUGUCUGUGCCUGCAGGACUUCAUUCACCUCUCAGCCACCCAUCCCUGCAGUCCUCCCUAAGCAAUCCCAACCUCCAGGCUUCCCUGAGCAGUCCUCAGCCCCAGCUCCAGGGUUCCCACAGUCACCCCUCACUGCCUGCCUCCUCGUUGACCCGCCAUGCACUGCCCACCACCUCCCUGGGCCACCCAUCACUCAGUGCCCCGGCCCUCUCCUCCUCCUCUUCCUCUUCCUCCACUUCCUCACCCAUCCUGGGCACUCCCCCUUACCCAGCUUCUACCCCUGGGGCCUCCCCCCGUCACCGCCGUGUCCCCCUCAGCCCCCUGAGUUUGCCCGCGGGCCCAGCCGACGCCAGAAGGUCCCAACAGCAGCUGCCCAAACAGUUUUCGCCAACAAUGUCACCCACCUUGUCUUCCAUCACUCAGGUAUGCGUGGCUGCUUCCCCACACGUCUGUCUCCCUUCCUCUUCUCUUCUCCUGCAGAGUUUCUCCCUCCAGCCCUCCUUUCCUCAGAUACCUCCUCCCCUUACUUUCUGCACCCUUUGUCUCAUCCAUCCCCUGCUACCCCUGUGUGUCCUCCACCUGCCACAUCUUUUAUUUGUCUGUCUCCUCUUUGCUUACGAACCCCAGGGUUAGCCUUUGGUUUCAAAUCCUGGUUCUGCCUUUCCUAGGAGUCCCCUUUGACAACCUCUGUGUGUCUCAGUAGUCUCCUUUAUAAAACAGAAUCGGCUUUGUAAGCAUCGAGUGCCGUAAGGGACAUGGAGUACUUUGCACCGUGCCUGCCAGCCCAGGCCCGUGCUUGGCAGAUGAUAGCUUAUCCUCUCCUUUUUAUCUUUUCUCUGUUCUCACUCUUCUUGUCUCUUUAUUUUUUGCCCGAGCUUCUGUCUUUUCCCAUCGCCUCUCCCAUUUCCCCUCCUUCUUAGAAUUCGUAGAAUCAGAGACUCUCUGACCGUGGAGCUCAGUCUCUUUCCACUUUACAGAUGAGGAAACUGGGGCCUAGAGGGAAGGUGGCUUCCCCAGAUUCACCUGGCAGGUUGGAACUAGAACUGCAGACUCAGAACUUAGGACUUUUUCCUCAGCGCUAAAGCACUAAGCUCUACUCUCCUCCCCACCCUUCCUUACUCUUUUCUUUCUUUGUCAUCUCUGCUCCCAUUUCUCACCCUUAUGCUCUCUUUUCCCUCUCCUCUGUCCUACCUUCCCCUCCUCCUCCGUUCUGUCCCCUGGAGUGUGUGUUCUGGGUUCCAUCUCUGCCUUCUCCUCUAAGACCACGGCCAGGCCACAGGUGCUCCGUGAUUUCAGUGGCAGAGGGAAGGAACCUCUCCUCCCUCCUUUUCUGCUUUUCCUUCCUUUCUCUUCCACUUCCUCUGGCCUCUUCAGUCUUCAGAACAACCCCUUUCACCUGCACUGGGUGUUAACAGGCACUUGUGAGGGUGUGUCACAAGUACUUGAUUACUGACGACCAUUAAGCUGUCAGUGUUGGGGAAGGAUUCCUUUCUGGAGCAGGUUCAGUAUUACCCUAGUGUUAACCUCUCUCAGCACUUCCAUUCUAAUAUGCAUGUUUUUGAAAAAUAUUUUUUUAGUUAUAGAUGGACACAAUAUCUUUAUUCAUUUAUUUUAUGUGGUGCUGAGGAUUGAACCCAGUGCCUCACACUUGCGAGGCAGGCGCUGUACCACUGAGCCACAGUCCCAGUCCUAAUAUGCAUUUUUGAGUUACUGCCACCAAGCUCAGGGGUGCCCAUGAGAACAUGGAGCGUUAUCAUGUUUGCAUUGAGGGUGGCUGCAGCUUAGAGAAUGGGAAGCUCUAUGAGUUUUUCUUGGAGGGCUAAGUUUCCUCCAUUUUCUUGUUUCUUUUCAGGGCGUCCCCCUGGACACCAGUAAACUGUCUACUGAUCAGCGACUGCCCCCCUACCCAUACAGCCCUCCAAGUCUGGUUCUGCCCACCCAGCAACCCACCCCAAAGCCUCUGCAGCAGCCAGGGCUACCUGCUCAGGCCUGUUUAGUGCAGCCCUCUGGUGGCCAACCCCCAGGCAGGCAGCCACAUUAUGGAAUACUGUACCCACCUGGGUCCACUGGGCACGGGCAACAGUCUCACCACCGGCCAGUGAGUGACUUCAGCCUGGGAAAUGUGAGUACUCAGGCUCCUAGCUCAGAAGCAGGGAGAGGGGCUGGGGUGGGUCCGGGGGGCCUGAGUGGUAUCUCUGAAUUACGACAUCCAGAAGAAGGGGUCUCCCUUUGUCUCAGGUAACAGCACUGCCAGCUUGGGGCUCCUGUUUUCCUGCGUUUGACCCCUACUCCUGCCCCCCUGUUUCUGCUCAGCUUGCUCUUUGAUGACUCCUGCCUUGACCCGUUCUCUUCCUGGCAUGCACAUGCUCUGGCCCAGCAGGUACGGUGCCCAUACCUACUUCGGGCCCCGUGCUCGCUUCUCUUGCUCUGCUUGCUGCCAGCCUCCUCUGUCUUUGCCUCUGUUCCUGGGGUGGAUGAAGAUUGCUGGGUGAAGGGGACAUGUUAACAUGUCUGGGCAAGGGCAGGCAGGGACAUCCUGUUCUGAAGCCUACUUCUUCAAGAUGUGUCUUUGUGUCUUUAGCUGGAGCAGUUCAGCAUGGAGACCCCAUCAACCAAUCUGGUGCUGGAUCCCCCUGGCUUUUCUGAAGGGCCUGGAUUUUUAGGGGAUGAGGGGUCAGUGAGUGGCCCCCAGGACCCUCACACCCUCAACCACCAGAACUUGACCCACUGUUCCCGCCAUGGCUCAGGACCUAACAUUGUCCUCACAGGUGAGUGGGCAUGGGUGGUGAUGGCAGUGAAAGGAAGGGAGUGGGGCCGUGGUUGGGGCUCAGCCGCAGCACACUUGCCUGGCAUGUGUGAGGCACUGGGUUCGAUUCUUAGCAUCACAUAUAAAUAAAUAAAAUAAAGGUCAUCAACAACUAAAAAAAUAUUAAAAAAAAAAAUAAAAGGGAAGGAGUGAUACCUUUGCCAACAUAAGAAAUGGAGGAGUCUUGGGGGAGUUCAUGAGGUAUGCGGUCCUUACUUAUCUCUUACCCACAGGAGACUCCUCCCCAGGAUUCUCCAAGGAAAUCGCAGCGGCCCUGGCUGGAGUGCCUGGCUUUGAGGUGUCAGCAACUGGAUUGGAGCUGGGGCUUGGGUUGGAGGAUGAGCUGCGCAUGGAGCCACUGGGCCUGGAAGGGCUAAACAUGCUGAGUGACCCCUGUGCCCUGCUGCCCGAUCCUGCUGUAGAGGAUUCAUUCCGCAGUGACCGGCUACAGUGAGGGAACCUUGCCACCAUCCUUCUCGGCCCCAUCUCCCGUCACUGUCCCUUUCCUCCCUUUCCCCUGGCCAGUAACGACUCCACUCUCUGCCCCCGUGUUCUCUUUCUAACAUGAACAAAGGAUCCUAAGAAUGAGAAAAAGCAAGGGGUUUGUCCAGGUGGCCCCUGAAUUCUGCACAAUGGGUAGGCCUGGGGGAGCCCAAGGGAGGGCCUAAAGCACUUGUAACUUUGAAAAACGUCUGUCUGGAGGUCAGAGCCUGUUGGAAAGCAGGGGUAGAGGGGAACCCCAGAGGCAGGGCUUACCCAGAUGCCUAGGGGUGGGCAGUGCCAGCCCCUCCUCACUACUCUUCUCCUUGCAAUGGAGGAAAAGAGCCAGAGUGGAUAUUAUUUUUUAUUAAAUAUAUUAUAUGUUAAUAAAAAAAUCCUGUCAAACCCUUGGUGUGG